CAAGCAAAACCUGCACGUUGGAUUCACAUGGGAUGACAAUGAAAACUUAGUUUUUAGUGUGAAAGGUUUAAAUAACCUAACACAGCUUUGAUGCUAUGGCUGCAUUAAAGAAAAUGGUUACUAAAAUUACAGAAAACAAAAAUUGAUUACCCCUCCAAGGACCAAACAAAUUCAAGGAGUGUCAUUUCAGCCGAGGGGAGAGACUCAGGUGAUGAGACCAGCUGUGAGAAUGUAACAGGGGUUGUGUCUGAAGUGUGUAUCUUCCCAUCGGUGUGUUUAGUCCUAGAAAAUUGCUAGCAGCAGUCUUGUUCACAGUGCCUUGGGAAAAGACAUUUCAAGAGGAAACUUGAUUUUAAACAAUUUCCCCCUUUACCAUCAUCUACCUUCUCUCUGUGUCAAGCUCACUACGGAUCCUGCUAUAGAACUGGUGGGUAGCUGGGCUGUUCGGUACCACUUCAGCCACACCUUCUGUUUCCUUUCAUUGAAAGCACCACAGUGUUCUGGACUUGUCUCGAGGCAAGCACCCUGGGAAGGGGAGCUGGGCGGUGUUUGUGUUCGAGAGACUGCAAUGCCGGCUAAUAAAAGCUGCAGUUCUAGGUUUUGUUUUGUUUUAUCUUUUUAAAAUUUCCUUUAACUGUGCUUUCCACUUUUCGUCAUCUUGUGUUUGACGGUUUAAAAGAAACUUGACAAUUCCUCAGCUCUUGUGCCAAGGAAGGUUUGUUGUUUUGUUUUUUUUUUUUUAAAGAGUUUAAAACUCAAAACUCUGCACAAAGAUUUCAGUCUCAAGUGUAUAUUAUACAUUGGUAGAAAAGUGUUUGCACUGGCAACCUUUGGAAGUGUUUAAGAAUCAGGGAGGGGGUGGAGGGAGGGGCUGGGAGAGGGAGGGGCAAAGCAAAAUUGUAUUUGGAACCUAGGAAAAUUAAGAAACCAAAUAGAAUGGUUUGACUUCCUUGCCAUGGAUUCUGGAAGGACAUAGUUCUAAAAUUUCCUGUUAAUUGGCAUGUAUGUCUCAUUUAAAGCAAAUUAAGUAGGACAAGCAAGUCAGCAAGAUAGAAGUGUUAAAAAGAAUCUUCCUUUUUAAUCACUGAUCUUAUUUUGGGAUUAAAACCUUCUAGCUUUAGCCAGGUAUGCAUGUUGCUGCCACUUUGCAUUUUUGAAUCAUCUUGUGUAAUUGUCACCAUGGAAGUGUUACUCAGAAUUGUCACAGAUUUUUUUCAUCUUUGUGCAAAAACAUGGAAAAUUGUCACUGACUUUGUGUUGAGGUUUCCCCCAUUUUGCUGCCUUUUGGGACACUAUUUUGGUUAAAUACUUGGUCUUGGCUGCAUUCCUUUUUUUUUUUUUUUUUCCUGUGGGGUUCAAAAGAAUAAACAUUUUCUUACAGAU
rnacentral:lncRNA from 1 species